UACGUAGGGGGCAAGCGUUGUCCGGAAUCAUUGGGUUUAAAGGGUCCGUAGGCGGUCUUAUAAGUCAGUGGUGAAAUCUCUCCGCUCAACGGGGAAACGGCCAUUGAUACUGUAAGACUUGAAUUACUGUGAAGUAACUAGAAUAUGUAGUGUAGCGGUGAAAUGCUUAGAGAUUACAUGGAAUACCAAUUGCGAAGGCAGGUUACUAACAGUAUAUUGACGCUGAUGGACGAAAGCGUGGGGAGCGAACAGG
rnacentral:rRNA from 1 species